CCUACGGGGGGCUGCAGUGGGGAAUAUUGCACAAUGGGCGCAAGCCUGAUGCAGCCAUGCCGCGUGUGUGAAGAAGGCCUUCGGGUUGUAAAGCACUUUCAGCGGGGAGGAAGGCGGUGAGGUUAAUAACCUCAUCGAUUGACGUUACCCGCAGAAGAAGCACCGGCUAACUCCGUGCCAGCAGCCGCGGUAAUACGGAGGGUGCAAGCGUUAAUCGGAAUUACUGGGCGUAAAGCGCACGCAGGCGGUCUGUCAAGUCGGAUGUGAAAUCCCCGGGCUCAACCUGGGAACUGCAUUCGAAACUGGCAGGCUAGAGUCUUGUAGAGGGGGGUAGAAUUCCAGGUGUAGCGGUGAAAUGCGUAGAGAUCUGGAGGACUACCGGUGGCGAAGGCGGCCCCCUGGACAAAGACUGACGCUCAGGUGCGAAAGCGUGGGGAGCAAACAGGAUUAGAUACCCUUGUAGUC
rnacentral:rRNA from 1 species